rnacentral:rRNA from 1 species
CGAACGGCAGCACGGACUUCGGUCUGGUGGCGAGUGGCGAACGGGUGAGUAAUAUAUCGGAACAUACCCAGUAGUGGGGGAUAACUAUCCGAAAGGAUAGCUAAUACCGCAUACGAUCUGUGGAUGAAAGCAGGGGAUCUUCGGACCUUGUGCUAUUGGAAUGGCCGAUAUCUGAUUAGCUAGUUGGUAGGGUAAAAGCCUACCAAGGCGACGAUCAGUAGCUGGUCUGAGAGGACGACCAGCCACACUGGAACUGAGACACGGUCCAGACUCCUACGGGAGGCAGCAGUGGGGAAUUUUGGACAAUGGGGGCAACCCUGAUCCAGCAAUGCCGCGUGAGUGAAGAAGGCCCUCGGGUUGUAAAGCUCUUUUGUCAGGGAAGAAACGGAGUUCUCUAAUAUAGGAUUCUAAUGACGGUACCUGAAGAAUAAGCACCGGCUAACUACGUGCCAGCAGCCGCGGUAAUACGUAGGGUGCAAGCGUUAAUCGGAAUUACUGGGCGUAAAGCGUGCGCAGGCGGUUUUGUAAGUCUGAUGUGAAAUCCCCGGGCUCAACCUGGGAACUGCAUUGGAGACUGCAAGGCUAGAGUGUGUCAGAGGGGGGUAGAAUUCCACGUGUAGCAGUGAAAUGCGUAGAGAUGUGGAGGAAUACCGAUGGCGAAGGCAGCCCCCUGGGAUAACACUGACGCUCAUGCACGAAAGCGUGGGGAGCAAACAGGAUUAGAUACCCUGGUAGUCCACGCCCUAAACGAUGUCUACUAGUUGUCGGG